AAAGAUCAGAUUGGAUGUUUUAUAGACGGGAGAAGAAGAAUAAGAAGAUUUAGAGGUGGGUUUUGGCGAUGGUAAUGAUGAAGAAUACUCAUCCAUGGUUGAACAGAAUAAAUCUUGUGGAUGAUGCAUCAAUGAGCCUAGCUACUGCUUCUUCUUUGGCCUAUGGGUUGGAGAAGAAAGACAACCGAACUUUCCUAGUGUUUGAUCUUGAUGGUGGUAUCUUUGAUGUUUCAGGUUGUGUUUUGUGGCGUCAGCUCAGUGGUAUGGUGGAUGAAAGUCCUGCUCAGGAAGCUAGUAUAAGCGCAUUUACUGGGGAAAGUUCAGAUUCUAUUGUUGAUGUUAAUGUUAAGACCUUGGAUUCACAGAUUUAUACAUUCCGAGUUGAGAAAAUUAUGAUUGUCCAAGGAGAACACAGCUAAGACAACUAGUGUGCCAGUUGAGCAGCAAUGUCUUACUUUUAGGGGAAAUAUUUUGAAGGACAAUCAGUGCCUCUCAGAAUAUCGUAUCCUAACAUGUUCAUGUUUCAGAACUUCGAUUUGAGUAGUACUUAUUUGCAAUGACCAAGGAUCAAGGUCUCACAUAUUUAAUUUGUGAUUUUGGAACUGUUGCCUCUGCAUAACUAAAUUGAUAUUGUCUUAAAAGAUUUAGCAAACUGACUUACUACCUUAGCAAUUUGUUUUUCUAUUCUGAGAAAUAGUAUGAGAAAUCGACACCCUAAUAGGGUUGGAUCAAUCCAUCAGAGAGAUGAGCGAACCAAUGAUAGAAUAAAUUAGUCUACUCGCAAAUGACUUUAUUUUGUUGAUAUGAAAUGAUCCUACUACUGCUGCUCCGAUCAGGUUGGUCAAGUUUCACAUAACGUAGUUCUUGGAACGUUUAAUCUUUGGGACCAAAGUCAAAAUGGUGUUCCUAACUUUAGUCGGGUAUAAAACUCUUUGGUCAUUGGGCUUAUGCCUUCUAUUAUUGAUUCAUUUUGAUUUAUGCUUCGACAUAUCUGUCUCUUCUGUAGAUUGUUGACGCUGUUUUAAAUUCUAUUGGGCUUGGGAGCCAGAUCCCUAUGGGCGCAACAAACACAUCAUCCAGUGUGCCUCUAAGUGACAUCCUAUUGGCAGAAUUUGGAGUAGCUCUUGCAGUGUGAGUGCACAAGAUUCUUCAGUAAACCAGACCUCGAGUAGGCACGCAAAAGCAAGUGCAUAUGUCCUCUGAAACUUCGUUGGAGGCUACCCUUCCUGCUCUUUUAUGCUAAGGUGUCUACAUGUUCUGAUCACCAUGAAGUAAAGCCUGCAUAGUAUGAAUAAGUAUGUCAGUUGGCUCUUUUAAGAAAAUUGUUGAAUUUUAAGUUGGAAGGGUGCAAGAUGAAGCUAAAGUGAUGACUAUAGAGAGUGGAACGUAACUUGGGAUGGCCUGAGUUCGAUACCUUCAUGGAUGCCGUCACUCUCUUCCCGAUGGUCUCAUGAGGGUUGCUGAUGUCAUGGUUGAUGGUGAGAUCGUUGUUGCUGCUGGAUAAGGAAAUGUCGGAAAGGGUUGUGCUUCUACAGGAUCUUCUCUCAAGCAAGCUGGUGCCAAGGUCCUAAUGAUUGAACUUGUGGUUGAAAUUUUUAGGACUUGUUGUAUCACUUCUCUUUAAGAAACUUUAAUUAUAGGGAGUUGAAUCCUUUUUUUUUAUGGGUUUGGACUAAACUUAUGAGCACAGUUCAAUGUAAUGGAGCUGUCAUUUGGUAUUAGAUGAUUCAGGUUUUAUUUGGAAUUUGAAUUUGAAUUUGAAUUUGAAUUUGAAUUUUAAUAUUAAUUGUUAUUUGAAUUUCACUUGAA